rnacentral:rRNA from 1 species
CACGUAGGGCGCAAGCGUUGUCCGGAAUUACUGGGCGUAAAGCGUGCGCAGGCGGUUCGUUGUGUCGGCGGGGAAAGCCCCGGGCUUAACCUGGGAAUGGCCGUUGAAACUGGCGAACUGGAGUGCGGCAGAGGGGGGUGGAAUUCCGCGUGUAGCAGUGAAAUGCGUAGAGAUGCGGAGGAACACCGAUGGCGAAGGCAGCCCCCUGGGCUAACACUGACGCUCAGGCACGAAAGCGUGGGGAGCAAACAGG